AUUGUCUCUAGAGGCUUUGCAGGUGUGGCUGCUGUGUCACAUGUACAUCAGUAGGUGGCAGAGGAGAGAGGCUAUGUCCAUACUCAGUGUUCCGACCUAUGAACAGUUGCAUGAUUAGUAGCCAGACAUU